AUUGAACGCUGGCGGCAGGCCUAACACAUGCAAGUCGAACGAGUGGCGGACGGGUGAGUAAUGUCUGGGAAACUGCCUGAUGGAGGGGGAUAACUACUGGAAACGGUAGCUAAUACCGCAUACCAUCAGAUGUGCCCAGAUGGGAGUAGCUGGUUGGUGGGGUAACGGCUCACCAGGGAGACGAUCCCUAGCUGGUCUGAGAGGAGGACCAGCCACACGGGAACGUAGACCCGGUCCAGACUCCUACGUGAGGCAGCAGUGUGGAAUAUUGCACAAUGGGCGCAAGCCUGAUGCAGCCAUGCCGCGUGUUUGAAGAAGGCCUUCGGGUUGUAAAGUACUUUCAGCGGGGAGGCGUUACCCGCAGAAGAAGCACCGGCUAACUCCGUGCCAGCAGCCGCGGUAAUUC
rnacentral:rRNA from 1 species